UCCGGUGGCGAUGCGUUCUGGGGAGACACCCGUACCCAUCCCGAACACGACGGUUAAGACCAGGGCGGCCGAAAGUACUAUG
rnacentral:rRNA from 1 species